GAGAGUCCAUAAUUUGGACGAUAAAUUGCUGGAGCAGAAAGAGAUCUCAAAGUCGAUUAUGGAGAAUGUUGGUGAUACGAAAGGAAGUAUUGAGGAACUUUACGUUACCGUGACUGAGUUGCAAAGGGCGCUUACUGGUUUGGAUUACAAGCUAGGUUCCAUUCAGAAAAGCAGG